AGCAGCCGCGGUAAUUCCAGCUCCAAUAGCGUAUAUUAAAGUUGCUGCAGUUAAAAAGCUCGUAGUUGAAUUUCGGGAUCAAUAUGUUGGUCGUGCCUCGGUACGUACUAGCUUAUUGGUUUCUCCCUUCUGACGAACCAUGAUGUCAUUUAUUUGGUGUUAUGGGAAAUCAGGACUGUUACUUUGAAAAAAUUAGAGUGUUUAAAGCAGGCUCACGCUUGAAUACAUUAGCAUGGAAUAAUGAAAUAGGACGUUUGAUUCUAUUUUGUUGGUUUCUAGGAUCGACGUAAUGAUUAAUAGGGAUAGUUGGGGGCAUUAGUAUUCAAUUGUCAGAGGUGAAAUUCUUGGAUUUAUUGAAGACUAACUACUGCGAAAGCAUUUGCCAAGGAUGUUUUCAUUAAUCAAGAACGAAAGUUAGGGGAUCGAAGACGAUCAGAUACCGUCGUAGUCUUAACCAUAAACUAUGCCGACUAGGGAUCGGAUGAUGU
rnacentral:misc_RNA from 1 species